AUAUCAGUCAUGCAUAGCAUAUCAAUAAGCGGAGGAAAAGAAACUAACAAGGAUUCCCUUAGUAACGGCGAGUGAAGCGGGAAGAGCUCAAAUUUGAAAUCUUCAAGGUUUUACCUUGACGAAUUGUAGUUUAAAGAAGUGUUUUCUGUUGAAGUUUUGGUAAAAGUUCUUUGGAAUAGGACAUCAUAGAGGGUGAGAAUCCCGUAUUUGACCAUUACUUUCAGCUUUGUGAUACACUUUCAAAGAGUCGGAUUGUUUGGGAAUGCAGUCCAAAAUGGGUGGUAAAUUUCAUCUAAAGCUAAAUAUUGGCGAGAGACCGAUAGCGAACAAGUACCGUGAGGGAAAGAUGAAAAGAACUUUGAAAAGAGAGUCAAACAGUACGUGAAAUUGUCAAAAGGGAAGCGUUUGACACCAGUGUUGUUUUCUCGAAAAUCAAUUAAAAAGAGUUGGAUUUUGUGUUGUAUUGACUUUAUCAGCUUUCUUCACUCUUUUCCAGCUUUUUUUAAUGCACUUUUCGUUUAACAAGUCAACAUCAGUUUCUUUUGUUGUAAAAAGGUCAUUGGAAGGUGGCUUUCUCUUCGGAGAAAGUGUUUAUAGCCUUUGACUCAUGCAAUCGGAGAGACUGAGGUCUGCAGCGUAGAUCCUUCGGGGUUAGAUACAUUUGUGCUAAGUUAUAGCUUUUCAUAGACAACUUGUUGACUAUGUUUAGUCUUGUAGCUUACUUGCUUAUGCUAUUUUACCUACGCUUAGGAUGUUGAACUCUAUCACACACAG
rnacentral:rRNA from 1 species